rnacentral:rRNA from 1 species
CCUACGGGAGGCUGCAGUGGGGAAUAUUGGACAAUGUGGGGAACCCUGAUCCAGCCAUGCCGCGUGUGUGAAGAAGGCCCUCGGGUUGUAAAGCACUUUCAGUGAGGAAGAACGCCUGGUGGUUAAUACCCAUCAGGAAAGACAUCACUCACAGAAGAAGCACCGGCUAACUCCGUGCCAGCAGCCGCGGUAAUACGGAGGGUGCGAGCGUUAAUCGGAAUUACUGGGCGUAAAGCGCGCGUAGGUGGCUUGAUAAGCCGGUUGUGAAAGCCCCGGGCUCAACCUGGGAACGGCAUCCGGAACUGUCAAGCUAGAGUGCAGGAGAGGAAGGUAGAAUUCCCGGUGUAGCGGUGAAAUGCGUAGAGAUCGGGAGGAAUACCAGUGGCGAAGGCGGCCUUCUGGACUGACACUGCCACUGAGGUGCGAAAGCGUGGGUAGCAAACAGGAUUAGAUACCCGAGUAGUC